AUUUGGAGGAAAGAGGGUUGCUGUGGUAUGCUGGGGUUCCGCUUCAAUGCCUAGUCACCUCAGAUUUUCCUGUACCUGCAGGUAUCACCAGUGAAGCCUGCGAAGCAGCAAAGAUGGCAGUCUGCCCCGUCUUCUAGGAGCUCUGUCACAGGGAGACAAGCCGUGCUGUGCUGGCGGACCACUUCAGCUCAUGGUCACCUCAGACACUCUGAAGCCUGAAGGCUGGAACAACUAAAUUGCCCAAACAGCAAAUAUGACAGCAUCUACAGAAAUCAUUUUAUUUGAGUUAUGUAGCAAGAACCCAACUUAAGCAAAUAUAAAAUUUACAACUAAGUCACUAUUUGGAUAUUAAUGUGUAUGCUAAACUGAUUUGUUCAUGGGCUAGUCAGCUAUUCAUAUGAUCUUUACAAUUUUCUGAAUUCCAUUUUUUGGUUAAAAAAAGAAAACAAGCUGAUACUUUUAUCACUUUCUAAGAAACAUUUGAUUUAAAUUCUUAUGCCUUCAAUAUCUCAUGUAAAAUGCUAGUUUCAUUACUACUGUAAGUAAAUAUGUGUAAAACAGAAAGUAUCUGAGACAAGUCUCAAUCAGUUUUGAAGUUUAUUUGGCCAAGGUUAAGGAUAUGCCCAGAAGAAAUAAACAUGCAAUCACAGAAA
rnacentral:lncRNA from 1 species